UACGGGGGGGGCAAGCGUUGUUCGGAAUUACUGGGCGUAAAGGGUUUGUAGGUGGCUCGCUAAGUCAGACGUGAAAUCCCUCAGCUUAACUGGGGAACUGCGUCUGAGACUGGCAAGCUCGAGUGCAGGAGAGGAACGCGGAAUUCCAGGUGUAGCGGUGAAAUGCGUAGAUAUCUGGAGGAACACCGGUGGCGAAGGCGGCGUUCUGGACUGCAACUGACACUGAGGAACGAAAGCCAGGGGAGCAAACGGG
rnacentral:rRNA from 1 species